UAUUGCGCAAUGGGGGCAACCCUGACGCAGCCAUGCCGCGUGUGUGAAGAAGGCCUUCGGGUUGUAAAGCACUUUCAGUCAGGCGGCAAGGUUAGUAGUUAAUACCUGCUAGCUGUGACGUUACUGACAGAAGAAGCACCGGCUAACUCCGUGCCAGCAGCCGCGGUAAUACGGAGGGUGCGAGCGUUAAUCGGAAUUACUGGGCGUAAAGCGUACGCAGGCGGUUUGUUAAGCGAGAUGUGAAAGCCCCGGGCUCAACCUGGGAACUGCAUAUCGAACUGGCAAACUAGAGUGUGAUAGAGGGUGGUAGAAUUUCAGGUGUAGCGGUGAAAUGCGUAGAGAUUUGAAGGAAUACCGAUGGCGAAGGCAGCCACCUGGGUCUUCACUGACGCUCAUUACGAAA
rnacentral:rRNA from 1 species